AAAAAAAGAGAAAAAAAAUUGAACACGUAUUGGACUUUUAAAAAGUCAUUGUACAGAACAUGAUGAAAAUACACCUCUUUGCCGCCAUUUUACUUGGAAUUGUCGUCUGCUCCGCCAUCGCUGCUAACCUCGAUGACGUCAGCUGCAUGGCCCCGGAUGGUACGAAAGUCCGACCCGGGGAAACGAAGUUUGUAAAUCCGUGUAUGUUCUGUACCUGUAUGGCGGGGGAGAAGGAGGCAGUGUGUGCCCCCAUUGAUUGUCCCCCUGAAAAAUGUGAAAAUCGAGUCUAUAAAGAAGGAAUGUGUUGUCCAGUUUGCCAAUAAAACAAGAUUCUUUCCAAUAAUGAAACAGUACAAAAAC